AACAGUUGGAAACGACUGCUAAUACCGCAUAAUGUCUACGGACCAAAGGGGGCUUCGGCUCUCGCCUUUAGAUUGGCCCAAGUGGGAUUAGCUAGUUGGUGAGGUAAUGGCUCACCAAGGCGACGAUCCCUAGCUGGUUUGAGAGGAUGAUCAGCCACACUGGGACUGAGACACGGCCCAGACUCCUACGGGAGGCAGCAGUGGGGAAUAUUGCACAAUGGGCGCAAGCCUGAUGCAGCCAUGCCGCGUGUGUGAAGAAGGCCUUCGGGUUGUAAAGCACUUUCAGUCAGGAGGAAAGGUUAGUAGUUAAUACCCGUUAGGUGUGACGUUACUGACAGAAGAAGCACCGGCUAACUCCGUGCCAGCAGCCGCGGUAAUACGGAGGGUGCGAGCGUUAAUCGGAAUUACUGGGCGUAAAGCGUACGCAGGCGGUUUGUUAAGCGAGAUGUGAAAGCCCCGGGCUCAACCUGGGAACUGCAUUUCGAACUGGCAAACUAGAGUGUGAUAGAGGGUGGUAGAAUUUCAGGUGUAGCGGUGAAAUGCGUAGAGAUCUGAAGGAAUACCGAUGGCGAAGGCAGCCACCUGGGUCAACACUGACGCUCAUGUACGAAAGCGUGGGGAGCAAACGGGAUUAGAUACCCCGGUAGUCCACGCCGUAAACGAUGUCUACUAGAAGCUCGGAGCCUCGGUUCUGUUUUUCAAAGCUAACGCAUUAAGUAGAC
rnacentral:rRNA from 1 species